rnacentral:misc_RNA from 1 species
GGAAUAUAAUCGCGAAGAACUGUUCGGUCUUACUGCGUAUACAAUGGUACAUGAGCUAGAGAUACGUAUUUAGUGCUGGAACUAGUAGAACUAUUGGGAUUGAUCAGAAAAAUAUCUUAGUGAAGUCAACUAUCGACCUUAAUUGGACGGAAGAUCGUGUUGGAGAGAGAAAGCAACGUAACCACCCUACACCCGAUAAUACAAAGAAACCUGCAAGAAUGAGUCAUUGGGGCUAUGGAAAAGAUGAUGGUCCAAGCAAGUGGGCACAGGACUACGAAGCCGCUGGCGGCAAUAGACAGUCACCUAUAAAUAUAGUUAGGAGUCAAGCAAAGUUCGACCAGAAGCUAGCAGAUGCACCUCUCGUCACCAAGUAUUCUGCGGACAACGCCAAGUCACUUAGCAACAGUGGUCAUUCAUUUAUGGUGGACACAUCAGCAUCGAAGACCGAUACAUCAGGUUUCAAACCUAGACCAAAGCCAGGUGUGGAACCCAAUACCCUACAAGGAGGGCCCCUGGAGAAUUCCUACGAAAUGGCGCAGUGGCACGCCCAUUGGGGUGCAAAUAAUUGCAGGGGGUCGGAACACACAGUCGAUGGGAACUCUUUUGCAGCUGAGAUUCACCUGGUACACUGGAACAACAUCAAGUACAAGAGUUUUGGUGAGGCCGCUACAAAAGGAGACGGAUUAGCAGUAUUAGGUAUUUUUGUAAAGAUAGGAAAAGAACAUGCUGGAUUGAAACAAAUCACUGAUGAAAUGAAGAAAAUUCAUCACAGUGGCCAAAAUGUUGAUCUGGCUUCAGGAUUUGACCCAUCUGUAUUACUACCAAACAACACAGCUAAGUUUUGGACAUAUUUAGGAUCACUUACCACCCCACCAUGUUUAGAAUCUGUCAUAUGGAUUGUACUUGAAGAACCAAUAGAGAUUUCAGAAGGACAGGUGAAAGCGUUUAGAGAUCUUGUUUCUUAUGCGGAAGGUCAACAACAACCAAACGAUGAGUUCAAAGGGCAGAUUGAAGACAAUUUUAGGCCUCCACUACCUCUUGGGGACAGGCUUCUGAGGUCAAGUUUCCAAUAGACAGUUGAUACAUACAAUACCUUAAAAGGACUACUGAGAUAUCAACUUGUGAUGGUUAUUUUGCUUCUAGUGCCUGAAUGGGAGUAGUUCCGACAGCGUAAGGUUAUGUCGUAAAUGACAUACAGAAGAUAUGGCUUUUAGUGUGUGAUCAACGAAUAAGUAAUUUCAAUAUUGUAAAUAGUACCAUAGCAAGCAUGUUUUACUUGAGUAAGCAAUGUUCAGGCAUCAGAUUAAAAGAUGGCAGUAAUGGUUUGUUUAGUCUACUUAGACCAGUGCUGCCAUCUUUCAAUAACUGAAAUGUUCCAUGACAUUUUUUUACAAAUAUUUUGUUGAUACCUACAUGUAAGUGUUAAGAUUGUUUAUUUCUGAUAACUGAUAAGUAAAUGAAUGAAUGCUCAUGUACCAAAUGGUGUACAUGUUUGGUAUACAAUCAAUUGACAUACUGUUAAUAAACACAUGCGUCACCUGCAGUUCAAUUCCUAUUCAGUAUUGAUAUAUUUAUACCAGGUAUGGCUGAUUGAAGAGGAAAUGAAUACAUAAGUUGUCACUAAAUCAUAUAUUUGGAAUAAUCUUAACCAUAUUCAAUACACUGUAUAGAAACCACACACAAUAGACAUCUAUAAAACAAAAGUUAUAUCUACAUGUAAUUAUGAGUGAGAAAGGCUAAGAUGGUGCCAAAAUAUGGACACUAGAAAAACAAAUAUCAAGACAGAAAUUAUAUAAUUGAGUUUUCUAUUCAUGUUUUGUAUUUAAGGGCAUGUCAUUUGUAACCUAUAGCCAAAUAAACUAGUAUUAUAAAUAUAUGUUUGUGAAACAAUAAUUGUUUUCUUUUUGUUGAUUUGAAAUAUUGAUUUCAAUAAAUACAGGGUGUUUCAUAAUGACCAAG